rnacentral:rRNA from 1 species
GACGAACGCUGGCGGCGUGCUUAACACAUGCAAGUCGAGCGGUAAGGCCCUUUCGGGGGUACACGAGCGGCGAACGGGUGAGUAACACGUGGGUGACCUGCCCUCAGCUCUGGGAUAAGCCUGGGAAACUGGGUCUAAUACUGGAUAUGACUCCACGGUGCAUGUCGUGGGGUGGAAAGCCUUGUGCGGCUGAGGAUGGGCCCGCGGCCUAUCAGCUUGUUGGUGGGGUGANGGCCUACCAAGGCGACGACGGGUAGCCGGCCUGAGAGGGCGACCGGCCACACUGGGACUGAGACACGGCCCAGACUCCUACGGGAGGCAGCGGUGGGGAAUCUUGCGCAAUGGGCGAAAGCCUGACGCAGCGACGCCGCGUGAGGGAUGACGGCCUCGGUG